CUGAUUUCGACGGGCUCUCUCCUCCUCCCUGAGCCCGUCGAACCCGGCGGCGGCUUCACUCCUCCUCCCGAGGCCGCCGCCGCAAAGACCAGACGGGCUGAACGCCCGACAGUUUCG
rnacentral:ncRNA from 16 species